CUCGGUGUUCUCAGACGCCGUUUCACUCGCAGGAAGACUCGCUGAGAGACACACAGACAGACGAUCACCCAGAGACGGACCUGAGGGAGACACACAUGCAGUAGAAGGAAAACACAGCGAGAGAACAGUUAUCAUUUCAAUCAGAAGCACAGAAUCACAUUUACAUUUAUUCGACACUUUUGCCCACAGCGAUGUAAGAAUGAGGAACAAUCCAGGUUAGAACUAGACCUCUUUAAGUUCAACAACAGGUUUCAUCCAAAUGUUCUUCAGAUUUUAAAAGAAUUUCCAGAAAAUCAUCAAAAGUCAAAUGUUCCGUCUCAGGCAUAUUUCCUGCCCAAGCUGAUCAACGGCCCCCCAGACAGCACCUAGAGUGAGACGUGUGAGAGGAGAGACGAACCCGCUGAGGACUCCCAGAACCAGAUUGAGAACGAAGAACGAGCCGAAAAUCACCAAACUGACGAAAUAAACCCAAG